UACGGAGGAUGCAAGCGUUAUCCGGAAUGAUUGGCGUAAAGCGUCCGCAGGUGGCUGUGUAAGUCUGCUGUUAAAUAGUGAGGCUCAACCUCAUAAAGGCAGUGGAAACUACACGGCUAGAGUGCGUUCGGGGCAGAGGGAAUUCCUGGUGUAGCGGUGAAAUGCGUAGAGAUCAGGAAGAACACCGGUGGCGAAAGCGCUCUGCUAGGCCGCAACUGACACUGAGGGACGAAAGCUAGGGGAGCGAAUGGG
rnacentral:rRNA from 1 species